rnacentral:rRNA from 1 species
CCUACGGGAGGCAGCAGUGGGGAAUAUUGCACAAUGGGGGAAACCCUGAUGCAGCGACGCCGCGUGAGUGAAGAAGGAAUUCGGUAUGUAAAGCUCUAUCAGCAGGGAAGAAAAUGACGGUACCUGAGUAAGAAGCCCCGGCUAACUACGGGCCAGCAGCCGCGGUAAUACGUAGGGGGCAAGCGUUCUCCGGAUUUACUGGGUGUAAAGGGAGCGUAGAGGGCAGUGCAAGUCUGGAGUGAAAGGCGGGGGCUCAACCCCCGGACGGCUCGGGAAACUGUACGGCUGGAGUGCAGGAGAGGUACGUUCCCUUCCUUGUGUCGCGGUUCCCUUCGUCCCUCUUAGUAGUCACACCAGUGUCUACGUCGGCUUCUGGACUGUACCUGCCGCUGCUGCACGACAGCGUGCGUAUCACACAGGAUUCGCUACCCCAGUAGUC